rnacentral:rRNA from 1 species
UACAGAGGGUGCGAGCGUUGUCCGGAAUCACUGGGCGUAAAGGGCGCGUAGGUGGCCCGACAAGUCUGUGGUGAAAGCUCGAUGCUCAACAUCGAGUCGGCCAUAGAUACUGUUGGGCUGGAGCACUGUAGAGGCAGAUGGAAUUCCGCGUGUAGCAGUGAAAUGCGUAGAUAUCCGGAAGAACACCGAUGGCGAAGGCAACCACCUGGGCCUGUACUGACGCUGAG